UUGCCCUCUACCAUUGAAGAAAAUGCCUCGGAAUAUUUUGAAAGAAUGUUUAGGAGAAGGGCUCCCUGACCAGCUUUUGAUUCUGUGAUUUCCCCAUAGCUCGCGUGUUCCUUUGCAACAGAAACCAGUGCAGAACUUAUGCGUGCCUUCAGCCCUGGCAGUAUAGCUUUGAUAUGCUGCACCAGAACCUGGUUCAACUUCUUUGCCAACUGAGGAAUGCCACAACGAUCAGCUAGGCCAUUAUACACUGGACGACUGCGGAAGAACUUCUCCUCAGCUGCAAGUGCAUCCUUGAUACUCCGAUUUAGCAUAAUAUCCUCUUGACUUCGAUUAACAACACCAACAUAACCAAGUCGAAGGGGAAUCACUUUUCCAAGCAACAGAUUACGAGCAUC
rnacentral:misc_RNA from 1 species